GUGAGUUUGGAGCCUACGACCACUGGAUCUAGGACGAGAGGAUAGCGCCCUGGGUCUGAGAAACUCGUCCAUCCUGGAGAAGGUGAUAGGCACCUUGGACCAUUUUAGGAAAGUAGGCGUCGCCGUUUUAAUGGACAGGAUCUCCCAUAAGGUGAGCUUUUGGGACCACUUGGUGAGGAAUCCCGAUGAACCGCUGAAGAUGACAUUGACCAUGUUUGCCAGGUUCU
rnacentral:lncRNA from 1 species